rnacentral:tRNA from 2 species
GGGUGACUAGCUCAAUGGUAGAGCAGAAGACUCUUAAUCUUUUGGUUCAGGGUUCGAGUCCCUGGUUACCCA